GGUGACGUCACGGCCCCCGCGCCCCCCGGCGGAGCGGGGAGGGCUCGGGGUGUCCCGCCCCGCGGUGACGUCACGCGGCGGCGGCUCGGGGAAUGACAUCACCUGUGCGAGUGGCCGGCGGGCGGGAGCUCGCGCCGCAGUGUCCCCGCGCCGCGGCCCCAGCGCAGCCGCCGGGCGGAGGCGGAGGGACAGCGGGGAGGCGGAGGAGGAGGAGGAGGAGGAGGAGGAGGGCGGGGAGGGCGGCCGCGGCCCCUCGCAGCCCCUCCGCCGGCAGCAUGGGAGCGGGCGGCCGCGCCGGCAGGCUCAGCUCUUCUCCAUGCUGGAUAUGCUUGGUGGAAGUCAAACCUCUGCCUUGAAGGGGAGCAGCCACUGCAGCUGAGCUGGGAAUAGCUCCAGGAUCUUCAGCAUCAAGGUGCAAUCCCUCGUCCACUGAGCAAACCUUGAAACAGAUCCUGGCACAUCCAUGGUCCUGGGCAGACAUCUGAAGAGCUGCUGACCCAGGAGAGCUUUCUUCAAGGAAUAGUUCAGAAAAGGGACCUGAGCUGGUGGAUUCCUUUGGUACAUGGAGGAACACACUGUAGAUAUUCUGAAAAAACAAAAUCAAAUGGGAGAACAGGUAGUGGAGCUCUUUGAAAGUUGUUCAAAGGGACUCUGUCAAUGUGAAACUCCUAUUUAUGGGGGGUUUUUUUCUGCCGCCUCCUUUCUUUUGUUGAUACAAUCUUGGAAGUGGGAGGAGGAUUUACAAAAAUGCUUGUGUUUUUAAGCUGCUGCUUCAGACACCUUUUUUCCCUGGUAAAUAUUGUGUAAGAAGCUGAAAAGAAAAACACAGGAAACAAACACAGAAAAGUCCUCAUCAGACCCUUUCUCUAAUCACUUCAGAACCUGAAAACCAGCUUUGUCAUGGGCUGUGCUGUAAAUGUGUCCCCACAGAUGCACCAAGGACAGACCUGUAAAACCCAUCCGAACCUUUAAACCAGACCAGUGACUCCUCUAAAGGUCUGUUGGGACAGAGCAGGGGCUCAGCCCUGCUGGGGCUCUCUGGGAGGCACCUCCAGACGCCUUUGGUCGUUCUUCAGGUGGAUUCAUCAGUCUCUGACUGGGAAGGAUUACUUUGGGGUUUUGAAGGGCGUGUGAAAUAGCCUCGAAGUCAAGGGAAGAGAAGCACGCUUCAGCCUCUGCUGUGCUGGACUCCAUCAGGACAUCCCCAGGGCCGGCGAUGAGGACCACGGCAGCAGAGGGAAGGCAGCCAACACUUCAAGCAAUAAAAGUGAGUUUUUAGAAAGUUUUCUGCUGCUGGUUUCAGCAGCAGCAGCAGCACUGGGAUGGUAUGAGUGGUGUACAGACCUGGCACAUGAAGCCAAGGGCAACUGAGGAAGGUGUGAAUUUACUGAAAUAAGCACCAGAAGCUCUGUGGAAGCUACUUUUUGUCUCCUUCAGGUGCUCACUGGUUACUAGGAGGCUGUGUAUGGGCUGAGCAGCCUCAGGAGAAGGUUAUAUCAGAGCAGACUUAGAUUUUCCUGUAAAUUAACAAGUGAAGGCAGAACUUGUGGGGUCCCUUGGCUUUUCCUUCCCUGCCUGGCUCAUGGGAACUCCAUAUGUGCUUUGGCUGCUGGGCGAUGCUCAAACAAGCUCAUGCUAGAGCCGUACCAGCCCUGGGUUUGCAAGGAGCAGGGCUCUUAAAUGAGUGUUUUCUUGGGGAUUUGCAUUGGUUUGGCUGAACUGUUUGGAAAAGUGCAAGAGAACAGGGA
rnacentral:lncRNA from 1 species